rnacentral:rRNA from 1 species
UGAUCAUGGCUCAGGAUGAACGCUGGCGGCGUGCUUAACACAUGCAAGUCGAACGAACCUUCGGGUUAGUGGCGGACGGGUGAGUAACGCGUGAGAAUCUGCCCUCAGGAGGGGGACAACAGCUGGAAACGGCUGCUAAUACCCCAUAUGCCGCGAGGUGAAACGAAUUUCGCCUGAGGAUGAGCUCGCGUCUGAUUAGCUAGUUGGUGUGGUAAAGGCGCACCAAGGCAUCGAUCAGUAGCUGGUCUGAGAGGAUGAUCAGCCACACUGGGACUGAGACACGGCCCAGACUCCUACGGGAGGCAGCAGUGGGGAAUUUUCCGCAAUGGGCGAAAGCCUGACGGAGCAACGCCGCGUGAGGGAUGAAGGCCUCUGGGCUGUAAACCUCUUUUCUCAAGGAAGAAGAUCUGACGGUACUUGAGGAAUAAGCCACGGCUAAUUCCGUGCCAGCAGCCGCGGUAAUACGGGAGUGGCAAGCGUUAUCCGGAAUUA